rnacentral:tRNA from 1 species
CUGGAUAUAGUGUAAGGGUUAGCGCGCGCCGCUGGGGGUGGUGUAGACCGAGUUCGAGUCUCGGUAUCCGGAC